rnacentral:rRNA from 1 species
UACGGAGGGUGCAAGCGUUAAUCGGAAUUACUGGGCGUAAAGGGUGCGUAGGCGGUUGUUUAAGUCUGUCGUGAAAUCCCCGGGCUCAACCUGGGAAUGGCGAUGGAUACUGGGCAGCUAGAGUGUGUCAGAGGAUGGUGGAAUUCCCGGUGUAGCGGUGAAAUGCGUAGAGAUCGGGAGGAACAUCGGUGGCGAAGGCGGCCAUCUGGGACAACACUGACGCUGAAGCACGAAAGCGUGGGGAGCAAACAGG